rnacentral:lncRNA from 1 species
GCAGUGUCAUGCUGCCUCCCGAUUGUUCUGCAAGGUGUGUUGUGACAUUUGUACUUCCUCCUGCCACGGCGGCGGGGAGGGAUGCUGGGGCUGGGGCUGCAGCAUGGCCCUGCAUGGGUUGGCUGGGCGCUGUGGCGCGGUGCUGCUGCUGGCCCUGCUGUGUGAUGUGGUGGGGCUGAUCCUGCUCCUCCUGGGGCUGUUUGCUCCUCUCAGCUACUGGGACUUCUUUGUUUACUUGGGAGCGCUGCUGCUUGCCUUCAGUCUGCUCUUCUGGACCUUCUGGUACACGUUCAACAUCGAGGUCCCCUAUAGGGAGCUGGGUUUUAAUUGACCUUCGGCGCUGAAAUGGGAACUUACGCUUGGAGGAGCAAUCUCACCAGCUGGGAAGCUGCAAAGCAUCAUUUCAUUGGUGAAGAGCAUCCACAAAGACUGCGGUUCUCCGAGCAUCACCUGCCUACAUGGACACCAGGGAAAGGGACUAAAGAGGAGCAGACUGUGAAUGUAGGGAGCAAGCAGAUGGAGAAGAACAGCACCAAACAAGGACUCCAUCCUGCCACUCCUCAACAAAAGGUCUUCCAUUGCAAACCUGCCACCAAAAAGACACAGAACGAGUUGCACUGUAUUGACCUGCUGAGCACAUCACUGUCAACAUGGGCACGAGUACUGCAGGCACCCUUUGAAUGGUGCCUUUGUUUCCUCUCUGAGCAUCCUUCUACCCACUGCCAUGAUCUCAGUGAGCCCAGCAGGAGCUUCCUGGCAGCAGCUGAACUGCUGCAAAGUGUCCUGGUGAGUGUUUGCAGGACCCAGGCAGCAGCACGGACCAAUUCUCCCAGCCCCACUGAGGGUGUGAAGUGGCCUGUGGCACCAGCGGGACAUGGAGCCUGGGGACCUCACCUGUACUUCGAUGCACUCAAUGGGAGAGUGACACAACAAAAUGGGGAGGGACUGGGGAUUUCCUAACAGAAGCCAGCUGGUGGCUGGAUGGAGGUCUUAGGUACAUUUUACCUGAUCUCAACAAGUUCUCAUGCACUUUCUAUUGGCACUUACUGAUGUACUCAGGAGGUUUAAGUUCAAAGAACUACUGAAGCUGAGGACAGAUAUGAAAAGAUGCAGUGUUUCAGCUGUCAGACCGGAGGCUCAGUGCAGAAACAAGCCUCCCUGCUAACUCCAAGUACAAAUCUCAGGUGAGAGGGGAUGAAGAGAUCUAUGUCUCCCUCCUCAUUCCCAACAGUAUUCAGUGUACCAUAAAGACAUCUGUGGGGUAGAACCACAUCUAACACCUACCAGAUAGGUUGUUCCACACUUUCCAUUGCAGGCAUCAGUUUCCCGUAAUUUAAAACUUUACCCAGCUUCAUUCCAGUUCCAUUUUGAUUUCCCAUCCCAGAGCUCCUGUCUCAGAGACACGGAACAAGGAAUCCUUGCACCAAGGGAUGGCAUCAGACCCAUUGAGCUGUGCCCUGGGGUUGCAAAGCUCUGCAAGGCCCAUGAGAGCCUGUUGUGCAUUGCACUGUUUUGGAGGAACUGUUUUGGUGUCACCUUUCUGGUUUUAUUUCAUUGUGUUGGUUCUUUAUCCUUUGUUAAAGUUGCUGCUUUCCCUUUCAAAGUCAUGUGUUUACUGAAGGUUGAUGGUGGGGUGAGGGGGGAUUUAUGGCUGUGCUAACUCUGUCCAUGUGUGGCUUUUACGUAUGGGAGAAUGGCUGAAUCCAGACAUCUGUCCCUGGCUGAUCAAACAAGAAGCCAGCUCAUAGCCAGGAAUGUGAUUCAAUUUGAACUUCACCCAUGGGCAGAGCCAGCCUUGCUUAAAGACUAGCAAAGUCCUGCAGCUGGCCCUGCCAGAACCACAGCAGUGCCUCCAUGUGCUCCCAGCACUGGCAGCACUCUAAGCAGGGCUUCAACUGGGGUUUAAGCCUCACCAACCCUACCUGCUACAGAUGCCCCGCAGUGGAUGGGCAGGGUGGAU